rnacentral:rRNA from 1 species
CCUACGGGGGGCUGCAGUGAGGAAUAUUGGUCAAUGGACGCAAGUCUGAACCAGCCAUGCCGCGUGCAGGAAGACGGCUCUAUGAGUUGUAAACUGCUUUUGUACGAGGGUAAAUCCCGAUACGUGUAUCGGGUUGAAAGUAUCGUACGAAUAAGGAUCGGCUAACUCCGUGCCAGCAGCCGCGGUAAUACGGAGGAUUCAAGCGUUAUCCGGAUUUAUUGGGUUUAAGGGGUGCGUAGGCGGUUCGAUAAGUUAGAGGUGAAAUCCCGGGGCGCAACUCCGGCACUGCUUCUGAUACUGUAGGGAUAGAGUUGAGUUGCGGGAGGCAGAAUGCAAGGUGUAGCGGUGAAAUGCGGAGAGAUCAGACGGAACAGC